CGAAACAUAUCGAAAAGCAGAGUAGGGUGAUGGCCACCUUAAGAGAGCUCCUGGUUGGUGCAAAGGAGUGGUGAAAGUUCCUGAAGAUGGGCUUGGAAUGGCGCUGGCAACUAAUUAGCCAGUGACGGAACUGCACACGUUAUUAGUGCAAGCUGAUUCAGUUGAGUCAGUUAGUGAGGUUGUUUUUGCGAGAAAACAACGAACUAAAGGUGGUAUCACGAACAAAUCGUCCUUUAU
rnacentral:ncRNA from 1 species